UAUAUAUAUAUAUGAUCUACAGAUCAUAUAUAUAUAUGAUCUACAGAUCAUAUAUUUGUAUGAUCUACAGAUCAUAUAUUUGUAUGAUCUAUAGAUCAUAUAGAUCAUAUAUUUGUAUGAUCUAUAGAUCAUAUAGAUCAUAUAUAUGAUAUAGAUCAUAUAGAUCAUAUAUAUGAUAUAGAUCAUAUAGAUCAUAUAUAUGAUAUAGAUCAUAUAGAUCAUAUAUAUGAUAUAGAUCAUAUAGAUCAUAUAUAUGAUAUAGAUCAUAUAGAUCAUAUAUAUGAUAUAGAUCAUAUAGAUCAUAUAUAUGAUAUAGAUCAUAUAGAUGAUAUAGAUCAUAUAGAUCAUAUAUAUGAUAUAUGAUAUAUAUGAUAUGUAUAUCAUAUAGAUGAUAUACAUGAUAUAUGAUAUGAUAUCAUAUAUCAUAUAUCAUAUCAUAUAUGAUAUAUAUAAUAAAUAUUAUAUAUAAAUAUGUAUAUUUGCUCUUUUGCUUUGGUUUUGAUUACUCUUUGAAGACAAUCAAAAAUCUUACCAAGGGCUGGACUCAGUGGCUUAAGCCUAUAAUUGUAGCACUUUGGGAGGCCGAGGUGGGAGGAUUGCGUGAGCCCCAUCCCUCAGAGUGCAACCUCCGGCUUCUUUGUGGGGAUAUUUUUGUUGGACCUUAGACCUGCCCGUGCUGCCAGGUCCCCUAGCCUGCCUUCUCCCAGCCCAGGACUGAUGCAAGGGGCCCUGGACAAGGCAUAAGAAACUUCAGGAAGCAUAGAAAGAGGCCAUGACCAUGACCCAGGAGGCUAAGUGCUCCUGGCAGACUCAAGGUUGCCCAGCAGCCAUCUCCCUUCUUCCCCACUAACAGGACCCCGAGUUUGUUGCAGAUAUUUGACAAGUGAGGUCUCCAAAGGUGCCCCACCAACCUUGCAAGGCCCACGAUGGUUCCAGACUUAGAAAUCCAUCCUGUUAAUCCUUAUUGCGCUUGCCAGUGAUUAGUGUUAAACAGGCAUAUGACUCAGUCCUGGGCAUUUCGAAUUAAGGAAAAGUCUGCCAGAGGGCUUCUAGGAGAGACUUCCCUACCUGGAAUGGGUUGAUAGGGGGAGAGAGGGGUGGAGAGGGAGCGAGGGAGUGAGAAAAAGACUGGAGCAAGAGAGAGAGAAGCCAAAAGCUAAAGAAGAAAGCCCUGACUCUCCCUCCUUGGUUGGGAUGUUGUCCUUUAAGGAUGUGAUGCUUGGAGCUGUGGCAGCCAUCUUGUAACCAUGAGAAAAGAAAGCGCCACUCUGAAGUUGAUGGAGAAGAAAGACAGGAAGAGCAUGGGUCCUUCGUGGCAUUGUUGAGCCACUGAACCAACUCUGCAACCUCCCAGCUGCAGUCGUUGUCUUACAUAGGGUGAGAAAUGUCUUUAUUGUUUGAGCCACUGACAGGCUGGGUAGCUGUGAUGGACAGCUGAAAGUAUCCUGAGAGAUUACUGAGGAAUUUGUCCUCUUGUGUGAUCCUGCCUGCUAUUUUAAUUUAAUUUUUUUGAGAUGGAGUCUCGCUCUGUCGCCCAGGCUGGAGUGCAGUAGCAUGAUCAUGGCUCACUGCAGCCUCUGCCUCUGGGCUCAAGUGAUCCUCCCAGCUCAGCCUCCUGAGUAACUGGGAUUGCAGGUGUCUGCCAUCAUGCCCAGGUGGGGUUUUUUUUUUUUUUUUUUUCAUUUUUUGUAGAGAUAGGGUCUCCUUAUGUUGCCAAGGCUAGUCUGGAACUCCGGGGCUUAAGCGAUCCUCCCACCUCAUCUUGGCCUCCCAAAGUGCUGGGAUUACAGUCACGAGCCACUGCACCCAGCCAUUCCUGCCUUUUAGAGUCCUGGGAGGAGACAGGUUAUCAGAACGCAGAUCCCAGGCAGUGCGGCCUGCACAUAGGCAGAGAAGAUGACAGUUGGGAGUUAAGGACCCUUUCCCCAUCACACUGGCCAGCUCAGGGGCUGAGAAUUCCACAAGUCAGAGCUUUCACCGAAACUUGCAUGUGACUUGUGAAAUGCAAACAUUCCAGGGAGAACUGGGAGUGACCCGCACCCUGUGGCUUCUUUCCUGGAACACUUCAGCACCUGAGUGUCUCCCAGGUAGCGGGAGGCUGGCUGUCGAGAGGACAGCAUGGGAGAAAAGGGAUUCGGAGGCUUUCUCAGAGGAAUUCAUUGAAUAUUUGCUCUGUUCCAGCAGCUUUAUCCCCACUAUCUUUUUUUUAUUACACAAACAUUUAUUUAGCACUUACUAUGUGCCAAGUAGUAUCCAAGCACUUUAAAAAUAUGUCACACUCAAUCUUGUGACAGCCAUGCGAGGUACAAGUGCUCUCACUAAGCCCAAGUACAGAGGUGGUGGCCCUGGAUGUGGCCCAGACAGACCAGUGCCAGCCCCAGUGCCACGCUCUGAACCACCCAGCGUGCCAGGCAGCUCUUGCAGUCUCAGGCUGCUGUGUAGCAGUGACACCUCCAGCGAAGUGGCACCACUUAUUGCCAGCUCCCUGGACCCAAGCCCUCCCUGGUUGCCUGCCCUGGUGGGUCCCGAGUGGGUCAGACAAAAGGCAAGCCCUGCUCCUCAGCCUCCCCUAGGGGCAUCCCCCAUCCCCGGCUCUCUCCCUUCUUCUAAGGGCAGACAGGCUUCUCCCAAGUGAGGGCAGGAGGCUCCGCACCCCUUUGCAACCCCAGGCCCUUGGGCGGCAAGUGUCAAGAGGAAGAAGGAAUCCAGAGAUAGGUGAAGGAUGAAGACAGGGCCUUUAUGCUCUUCGCUUCUCUCCUCAAAGUGCCACCUCCUGCCUCUGUCUGCUCUGCUCUGUCCUUGGUCCGUAUAGCAGAGCCCUGCUCGGGGCGGCGCUGAUUUCAACACCCUUGACGUUGAACUGGGCUCCUCCCAGGUGUGCCAGGCUGGAGUCCUCACAGAACUCUCUCUUGCUCUGUUUAAAAUGGAUGUAUCCCCCUAGCUUAUUCUUAACAGUCCUCCAGAAUCUUCCACCAUGAGCAUCGUCAUCCCCAUUUGACCAAUGAGGAAAUGAGGCUCAGAGAGUGACUUGCUAUCCAUGGCCACGCAGCUCAAAUGUCACCUGUCUGAUCCAAUGCUUACCUUCAGACACACCCUGGGCCCUCCGGGAUGAUCUGGAGCCUGCAGACCUAGGCCAGCGCCACCGUGGGGUGGGGGAGUGGCAGCAGCCUCUGUCUGCUGAGACUGUGCCAGUGCCAGGGGUGUACAAACGUGAUCAUGACCUCAUUACAUACACGGUAUUGUUACUGUUAUGUCCAUUAGCUUGUUAAUCUCUAGAACCACCACAUGAAGAUGGUUUAUAUAAUCACCAUCCCAUUUCACAGAGGAAGAAACUGAGGUACCAAGAGAUUGUGUCUAAUCAAAGGGUGUCCAGCUCUAAGCAGCAGCAUGGGGGUCAAAAUUCUGGCCCAUCUGACCCCUGAGCUCCUGGUGGUGACAGGGGCCCGGGAGGUAGCCAAAGCAAGGUGUUGAGACCUUAAACCCAAUGCUGCCUGUGUCACAAUUUUGCCAAAGGCUACCAUCUGGGAACAGUCCCUAGGGUGGCUGUGCCCACAUCACAGCAGAGGCUACUUAAGGGCUUUGUGGGCUCCAAAGCAUGAGCCACAUUUCUCCUGACCUUGAAAUGGACUCUUUGAGAGAGGCAGGGGGGGGACCUGGUGUCCUUGCUUCCUAGCUGGGACAGCCAGCGGACUCGGAGGAGCUAAGAGACUUGCCACUGUCCACGGUGCUGCAUCCCCAGCCUUGCUGCACCACCCAGUUGCAAGCGUGACUUCUAUCACCCUGGGCUGAAUUUAGCUUCCUAACCCCUGUAUGCUAAGCUGAGAAUUCCCUUCCCCUUCAAUAUUUCUCUUCAUAUCUACUAUCCAAACCUUGAAUAAACUGAACAAAUGAGUCUCUCUUCUGAGGUAAAUUUGUUAGAGACUAAAGCAAGGUUCUUUGCCUAGAUCUAGGUAAACAUGGAGGCCGGAAAUGGGCUUCUUUCUGAUCUGCCACUGACAUGUGUGAAUUUCUGAAAUUCACAAGCCCUCUUGAGUCUCAGUUUCCUCAUCUGUAAAAUCCAGGUGCUAACAGCAGCCCUAACUAAGCAGGCAUAGAUGAUGAUCACGUGCUCUUCAGCACCUGUGGAAUGUGUCCCUCAGCUGGAGCCACAGCUCAAGUCUUUACUCUCCUCUAGUUUCCAAGACGCCUGAGGUUUACAGGUAGAAGACCCCCAGAGGACAAAGUAGCUGAUUCCAGGGAUUCCUUGGAGCCAAUCCUCUUGGCCUCAACUAUCCCCUCCUAUAUUCCCUCUCCCCACCGGCUGGGGUACGUACUCCCUGGCCAGCCUCCUGGAAUGUUCCACUGGUCCCCACCUCCCAGCACAGUACCCCUCCCUCCCGCUAGUGGAUGACUCACUACAUUUCUUUCUUGCUUUUUUUCCGAUUGUGCUUUUUUUAAGUUUAAAAAAGAAAUGUGUCAAAGUCAGCAUAGCACAUCUAUUUAAAGUGCAGAGGAAGCAGCCUCUGAACAACUUGCGGUGUGGAGCCUUUAGAACCUUUCCAGGCCUCAGCCCCAAAGUCUGUCACUGUUGCUUUCUAAAGCCCCAAUAUGAAGGGCAGUGGACGCUUAGGGACGUCAGGGGAGAGGUAAGGUGAGAGCAGGAGAAGGCAGGGCGGAGGAGGGUGCCCUGGGGAUAGAGUCCCGGCCACUGUUUCCUUUGCCCACCCCAUCCCCCGAGGAAGGUGGCGCCAGCAGAUGCAGGUAUAUGGCUUUGUACGUGCAUGUCGGCUUGAACGUGGUGUAGGGACCACGUAGGGUUUCAGGCCUGAGACAGCGGAGGGAGCUGAGGAAGGGAACAGGCAUCGCUUCUCUCUCCCUCUUCUGUCAUUUCAUCACCCCCAUUUUCCAGUUACUAGAUUAUCUCCCCUAAAUAGCAGCAAAGCAGGGGCUGCUCCCGAAGGCUGUCAGCUCCUCAAAAUAGGUGGAAGGAAGUCACAUGGCCUCGGCACUGGCUCCCUUCCUGGCUCCGCCUCUCACACAUGUCCCUCCAGACCUGCGGUGAAAUGAACUGCUUCUCCCCUCUGCCUCUGCCAUGGCUCCACUGCCCCCUAACCUUUAAAGCAGAUCUCUCUGGGCAGGGUUGGCAAUACUUGUCAUUCUUCCCAGUGACUUGGGACAAAAGCCAAAGUCUGGACUCCUUGGUGGCUCCACUCCCGCCCCCUGCAGACGUGUUGGGUGCAGUACUGCCUCCCACGUUCGCACUGGCGGUUCCUUGCUGCCCGGCACCGUCUCCUCCAGCUAAAGUGAGGCUCAGGCCCUCACUUCCUUCAGGUCGCUGAUCACAUCUUGCCCACUGAGAUCUUCUCCAGUCAUCCCAGAGGACAGGCCCUCUGUGCUCCCAGGCCUCCCCACCCGUUCCUCUGCUUCGUUCUGCCCCCGAUAUGCUGCGAAAAUCAUCACUCCUUGUUCAUUUUCCGGGGCGGGGAGGAGGAGGGGUCAGUCUCACUUCCUCCCUCGGCUGAGCUGCAGGAGACUCAGAGAUGGCCUUGGCCUCACCCAGCUGUGCUGUCCCCACCCAGCCGGCUGCUUUGACAUUUAAAGGACUAGUCCGAUCCUGCUGGGUCGCAUUCUUGAGCAACUCCGGCGCUGUGGCCCUGCACUUUCUGGAGGACUGAGUGUUUUACUCAGCCUUCACCUAUGAGGAGCCCGUGAGACCCAGGCAUGGAGCCCUUUGUGCCUCAGCCAGCCAAGCCCAGAUCCAGCCACGUGGACGUGUGCUGACAGCACCGUCGAUGCACAGUCUCCACCAAGCUGGGACAAAGGCAGAGCUAUCAGUAGCCACGUCGGGUAGAACAGAAGGCAUUCUGGGAACGCGGUGCUCUCACAUCCUGCAAAGUACAGGCCUGCAGAGCAGAUGGCAGGGACUUCAAAAGCUAAGUCACCUUGAAAGAUAAUGGCACAAAGGGCGAUUGGGGGUGGGGUGGGUGGGAGGCUUUUGUACCCUUUUGCAACAAGGAAGCAGAAAAGACAAAAGCUAUUUGCCAGCCUGGUGCGGGAAUCAACAGAAUAGAGAGAUGGUUCUGCUGCAAUUUCCAUCAAGGGUGGCCAAGCCUCCAGUCUUCUUGUCCAGAAGUAAGUGGCAUCAACCAACUCUGCCAAACUGCAUUUCCUGCCUCCUGAUCUGGGGUCUUUUCCUUUUCUUUUUUCACACAGGGAGUAUUUCCAUCCUCUCUGUCCAGGCAGCUGAGCCUUGACAACCUCUCCUCCCCUUCACCAUGCCCCGACUGAUCUCCUAAUGGAGCCCCACCCCUCGAGUCCCUGGGCCUGUGGAAGGUAGGGUCUCCCCCUCCUCCUCAUCCUCCCCCACUCCACUCCAGGUGGGGUUGCAAUAGGGCUUAUCUGGUUUCCUCUAAGCAUGAAGCCCUUGACCAGAGGAGGAGCGGGAGUUCACGUCACGCCCCCAUGCUUAGUCCUGGCCUUUUGCAUUUUUUGUGGAUGGGUAAACUGAGGUACAUAGUGGUCAACUCAUGCCCAGGAUCACAGAGGCACUGGCAGGGUGGCAGGAAUGCUGAAUUCACCUGAUGAGAGCCAGGGACAGCAGCGGGUGGGGCGGUGGCUGCUUUUCAACUGAAGUUGUUAAAAGGAAUGCUUAUUCCUGGCCCCACCGGCUUGCCCUCCAAGGCAGAACGUGUUAAUACCGAGCCCCAGCAAAGGUUCAAAUUGACUUCUUGGCUCUGAGCAGGGAGGUAGAAGUUCCUGCCCCCGCCACCCCCGGCUCGAGGCUCCAGGGGCUGCCAGGCUCCUCUCGCCUGGCCUAGAAACAAUCCCCUCCUGCCACCUCCACGCAGGUGCUGUCAGGACAGGCCCUCUGCCCUCAAACAUCUGCUCCUCUCCUCGGGGAGGGGGGCCUCAGCUGCGCGCUGAAGGGGCCAGGCCUCAGAAGCCUGUUCUCCUUUGAAGCUGACAGCUUGAUGCCUGUGGAAAUGCGGUCCUAUUUCAGGAUUUCAUUUUAAAGAGGUUUCAAAGGAGUGGCUGGAAGGCUUGGUGGAAUCGCUUAUUACGGCUCCUCUCCCGGCCCGCAGCUUGGUGGCUGAGCACGUCAUCAUCAUUGGCAGGCAGGUGACUGUUCUAAAUUAGCACCUGGCUCAUUCUGGAGGGCUCUAACUCUUCCUGAGCUUUUUCCAAGAACAACUUUCAUGACUUAUACCUUCUUAUACCUUUCCCACGUUAUCUGUUUGAAAUGAUCCACGGGGCAGGUGAAUUACGUGUCAUCUCCAAGACUCUUGUUUCUGUCGGGCAUGUCUUAAAGACACACACACAUGCAAAGGCUAUGAAAAUGCGACCCCCCAGACCUGGGAAGCUGCAGCCCGUGGAGCCUCAGGGGCAAAGGGAGCAAACUGGCUUGUGAGGGAAGAGCUGCUCUGGUCAGCGGCUGUUGUGGGAUGGGGAGGGAACAGGGUGACCCAAGGGGGCAGGGGCCUGGUGCCAUGUCUGCUCAUGUGCCGCCCUCCUUGUCUCUGGGAUCUGCCCCCAAAAUGCAAGAAACGCGUAAGCCCACUGUAGCAGAUAUGGAGAGACUCCGGGGGAUUUUCCUUUACCUAACUACUCUGCACCUCUGCAAGGGAGAGCAUUAUGGUUUGGAAGAAAUGGAAACGGCAUGGAAGUCCCAUGUGGGCAGAGCCUGCACACCAAACCCUUCUAGACUGCAAAGGGUUUGACUCAGCCCAAAGAGGACUCUGCCAGGAAGCUGUCAGGCACCUGAGGCCACCUGCCUCUCCUCCGCUUCAGGAAUAACCAUCAGUACUGCAUCUUGGCUCUGAGGGGCACUGGGCAUCACGAUGCCCACUCGAAGCAGCUAGGGCACGUUGAUCUCUGCAUCUCCAUACAGAUGUCCGAGGAAAUGAUCCCAUAGCCUCAUCUCUGUUUCAGAGGCAGAGGCAGAGUCCACCAUAAUCUAGCCCAUUGCUCUCAACCAGACAGAGCGCACCUCCUGGCCACUAGAUUCCAGAAGAUGCAGUAUUUUUCCUAAGGCAGGAGAAAAC
rnacentral:lncRNA from 10 species